UGGACUCACUCCCCAGCAUGAAGGCGCUGAGCCCGGUGCGCGGCUGCUACGAGGCGGUGUGCUGCCUGUCGGAACGCAGUCUGGCCAUCGCCCGGGGCCGAGGGAAGGGCCCGGCAGCUGAGGAGCCGCUGAGCUUGCUGGACGACAUGAACCACUGCUACUCCCGCCUGCGGGAACUGGUACCCGGAGUCCCGAGAGGCACUCAGCUUAGCCAGGUGGAAAUCCUACAGCGCGUCAUCGACUACAUUCUCGACCUGCAGGUAGUCCUGGCCGAGCCAGCCCCUGGACCCCCUGAUGGCCCCCACCUUCCCAUCCAGACAGCCGAGCUCACUCCGGAACUUGUCAUCUCCAACGACAAAAGGAGCUUUUGCCACUGACUCGGCCGUGUCCUGACACCUCCAGGUGAGUAUCUCCUCUCUUGGAGAGGGAGGUUUAAACGGCAAGUCCUGGAGUUGGCAGACGUUUUGAAAAAUUGCCACUCACUCGGUUUAGGGAAACUGAGGCCAGAGAGGGACAAGUGACUUGCCCAUGGUUGCAUCAAAUGAAUGGCAGAGUCAGUUUCCAUGUGAUGUGCAUUUAAGCCUUAAAUGCGCCUGGGCCCUGCCCUCCCGCAGUGGCCGAGGGUCUGGCAAAGUAGACAUGGGUCCGACUAAAUACAAGUCUUUCUGUUCCAUGUUGUAUAGGGAGCUGUCUUCGGCAGCCCCCUCCCAGCUAGUGUCAAUUCCAAGUAGGAGGGGUAGCGCAAGCUCCGCCUGUGGUCUUUGGCGCCAACUGGGUGGGGGCAGCGUGGGGCGCGGAGUUAUCAGCUGGAGGUACAGACCAAGUUUCCUCCCUGGCGCCGGCCAGUCUGCGGACGGCCCCCGCCUCGGCACGCUCGGCGGAAACUGACUGC
rnacentral:misc_RNA from 1 species